UGGACCUUGGGCAUCCUCUUCUAUGAGUUCCUUUACGGCGUCCCACCUUUCGAAGCCGAGAACCAGGAAGAUACAUUCAAAAGGAUUGUGGAGAUCGACUUGAGUUUUCCUCCCACUGCUCAUGUGUCUGCAGAAGCAAAGGACCUGAUCUGUCGGCUUCUGGUGAAGGAUUCUU